UACGGAGGGUGCAAGCGUUAUCCGGAUUCACUGGGUUUAAAGGGUGCGUAGGCGGGUUGGUAAGUCAGUGGUGAAAUCUCCGAGCUUAACUUGGAAACUGCCAUUGAUACUAUCAGUCUUGAAUACCGUGGAGGUCAGCGGAAUAUGUCAUGUAGCGGUGAAAUGCUUAGAUAUGACAUAGAACACCAAUUGCGAAGGCAGCUAGCUACACGAAUAUUGACACUGAGGCACGAAAGCGUGGGGAGCAAACAGG
rnacentral:rRNA from 1 species